rnacentral:lncRNA from 1 species
AGGGCACCCAGAAUGCCAGGAAGGACAGUGCCAGCAGCGGCCCAUGCCAGCCCAGAGCCCGGACCCGGGUCAGCACCACGUCUCUGGAGGAGAGCCCUGCUCCUGACCUGUCAGGGAGAGGAAGGUGUUAGGAGGUAACCUUUACACCAGGGCAGGCCCUGGUUCCCCUGGCUGAUGGAGGAAUUCACACUUAGAUACACCCCAAGUCUCCAACCCCUGACCUGAGACAGCUUACCCUCUCCUCAGUCCUACUGCCCUACCCAAAGGGCUAUGGGAUACCGAUUCUCAGGGCCGGGGACCAAAAAGGGAAAGGGAAGGGAAUGUCUAAGAAGCAAGGGAUAUAUGUGGUAUGGAGCCGUGAGCCCCAUGUCACACUAGGGUCAACCCCUUCCCCUGGCUGGGCCAUGCCCCUACCACAACUGGGGCCCCUCCCUCCCCUCCCCCAAAUAUGAGCAGCAGUCCUUCAUUUGGGGGAUCAUCAGAGUCAGACGGGGGCAGUGAUGUACCAUCCCCUAAGACACACCGGGGCUGGGAGCUGAGGAGCUGACGAUCACUGAGCCAGCCGAAGAGGGGGUCAUUGAAGCUGUUCCAGAGGAGAAAUACAGUCUGCAAGAAGAGAGAGAUGGGCAGGUGGGGUGUACAGGGCUCCCCAACACCAGUCCAUGCACCUUCCCCAAAGAUGGCAGUUCGUCCUGCCGGCAAGCUUUUGUGCAUGUUCCUCUGCCAAAACCCCUCUGGUGGCUGGUACACACAUCGGACUCCAGCGACCCACGGCAGCCGCUAAGUGUAUCCAGCCAAUUGAUGCCCGUGAGUAUAUUAUAUAUGAACAUACAAACAGCGGAGCGUCAAGGCAGUGGCCAGGAGUGCUUCUAGAAUCCUCCUGAAGAGUCCUUAAGGGCUGGAGAGAUGGCUAAGAGGUUAAGAGCACUGACUGCUCUUCCAGAGGUCCCAAGUUCAGUUCCCAGCAACCACAUGGUGGCUCACAACCAUCUGUAAUGGGAUCUGAUGCCCUCUUCUGGUGUGUCUGAAGAGAGCUGCAGUGUACUCAUAUAAACAAACAAACAAACAAGCUGCAGUAUGCUCAUAUAAAUAAAUAAACAAACAAACAAAUAAAUAAAUAACCCUACCAGCUUUUCUGGCUGAGUUUUGCUAAACAGCACAGUCUGCCCAAAAGCCUAACACUGGGACAGGACCCAGCACCUUCUGUCUACCUGGGAACCCGAUGCCCAGUCUCCCAUUGUGCUAGCUGCCCCAUGGCCUACCUCUCCAACCCAGAAGGACACUUUAUUGAUCUUAUACACUGAGACGAAGGUGUCCACGUAGUACAGCAGGAACACAUUGUGCAGGAUGGAGGUGAAGAGGGCCAACGAGCCGUACACCACAGCUAUGGGCAGGCCCAAUAGCCAGGCUUGGGGCCAGUCCAGCCCCAUGGCUGCUGGUGGAGCCUCAGCCCCAGGGGCACUGCGGAGGACUCACAGACAUUGCCUGUCCGACCAUCCUCGUCUCUGGGGAAGAAGAAGCCAGUGAGCAACAAGGGUCAGAGAGAGCUAACUCUCCAGCCAGCUCUCUGACACCUUCAAUAACCAUAAAACGAAUAACUCAUUCCAGGCUGGGGUCUGUAGCUCUGCGGUUGCCUAUUAGUCUAGCUCCUACAUUUAAUCCUUGACACC